UUAACUGUAGUCUCCCAGAGGAUGACGUCAGCGCUUGGACAGUUACCUAUAAAAGCUCCCGAGCAGGUUUCAUUGGCUACCUCUCAGCAGCGCCAUCUACAUCUUGAAGAACAUUUUCGCAAGGGGCUUUCCGCCACUCGUCCACAAUGAAGGCUUGUUACAUCUUCUUACUGUUGGCCUUACUGGCUACUGCGUCCUUUGCCCAGAUGCCAAACAUGAUGCUUCCCAUGAUGAUGGGUGGUGGCAGCGACAGUGCCUUGAUGCCCUUGAUGAUGAUGAUGAUGAUGGGUGGAGGCGGCUCGCAGGGUGGUGGUGGUGGAAUGAACAUGAUGUUACCGAUGUUGGCCAUGGGCGGUGGCAGCGACAUGUCGAUGAGAAUGAUGAUGAUGAUGAUGAUGAAUGGCAUGGGAGGUGGCAUGGGCGGUGGUAUGGGGAGUCCGAUGGGAGGCGGUGGUAUGAUGUAACAAACUCGUGUCGAGCUCGUGCGGUACGUCUCAAUGCUCUCGAACCAGCUUGAAUGCUGGGAAUGCUUGGAAUGCUGGGAAUGCUGCUUGGGUGAAGAGAAGAAGAACCGUGCACCGCAGUGCUUGUUUGGUUGAACGGUGUAUAAACAACUCGUCUCCUGCUUUCACGAAGCAAACAUCAUCUGACGACCACAUAGACCUCCAUCAACACUCUCCUUCCAUCGUCUUCGUUGACCUCUUGAAUCUGAGCAUUAAGUCAAUGUCUGUAUCCCGUCUAUUCAAAUUCAAUAAAAUCUUUCACAUUCCUUUAGUAGUCAGACUGAUUUUGUCAGAAACAUGGAAGGAAAAUGACCUGUUCAUCUUAUUGGAUGGCCCAUUUACCAUGUAAAGUUCUAUUUACACAUUUUGUACAAAUUAAUUUUAUUUUUAAAUUCUUCAAAAACCGGAAGUAUUUGCUUGUUUUAGAAUCUAAGCUAGUGUUUUGUUUUGUGUGCUCAUUUUCAUACGCUUUUAUAACCUGUUUUAUGAUCCUUGAAGGACGCACCUUUAUUAUGAAGGCUUAUAUCUUGCUUUUCUUAAAAUGAACUUUAUUCAUUUAUUUAUCUAUGUUGUUUGUUUGUUUGCUAAAUAAUAAAAGUGUGGUCUUCAUCUUUCGCUUCAAUACCAGAGGUGAACUCUUUGAAAAUAAACUCAAUCAUGACGGACUUUUUGAAUUAAAAAUAAUGCUGUUGAGAUUUUUCACCCUCCCCACCUACACCCCCGCUAUAGUCAUUAAGGACUCAAAAAACUCCUAUGCAAGUGGAUGAACUCAAAAACUCCUAUUAAACAUGAUAGUUCAACUGUUGACUUCUGUCUUACUUUUUAAGCUAUUUCUUCCGAUGUCCAAGAAACUAAUUUUAAUAUGACCUUUGCCUGAAAUAAUCCUCGCGACUUUAAAGAACAGCAAAAUCAACUGACAGCCAUUUCUAUCCCCGCCUACAUGGUAACUUAAAUACUUAUUAUAAUGCUCAACCCUCCAAGCAGCCAUUAUUAUUAAUACUUGAAUACUUUUCUGCGUAUAGUCGACGUAUUUUCUGAGAAGGCGCAAGAUAACAAAACAAAAGAAAACCAAAAAAAAAAAAAGACAAAAAAAAAAAAAAAAAAAAAAGAAAGAAAAAAGGAGUGGACAGUUCAGGGUUCAGAAAGGUUUCUAGUCGUGGUAAAGUCAUCUGUGGAUAGUCUUCCUUUUAAAGAGUCUAGCAGAAAAAAGUUAUUAAUUUCUGUGACAGACAUAAGGUGGAUGGAUGAGCUUGCAACUUUCAUAUUCAACAUGACUUCGCGGAAAGCCGGAUCCUGAUUUCACAUUAACACAAACAUUUAAGAUGAAAUAUUUGACAAGCUGUCUCAUAGAUUGAUCUAUGGUGUUCACUGCUGGUAUAACUUGCUGGGUUGGUUAAUUUUGGUCUCAUUCAGCCGUGUCUCUGAACAUUCUCCUCGUCGACUUGUCUAAAGGUGAAGUUCACAUAGAUACAGAAUAUAUAUGUAUAUAGAAACAAAUAUCACAUUCCUAGGUAAAGUAUAAGUUCUAAGAUUGUUCUUUUCAAAAAUAGCAGCGUUGAAACGGAAAAUAAACACAUUGAAAACAACACAAAUGAUUACAGAAGUUUUAUAAUCUUCUCAAAUUGUGUACACCGGCAGAGCCUGGGAACUGGUAAAUAAGAGAUCAGUGUUAGCAGCCGGAUGUGUGUAGGGAGAGCCUGUACAGAAAAACUGUAGGAGGCACUACAAGCCAACAUGAAAUACACAGCUUUUCUGGUUUUGCUGUUCCUCCUGACACCGCGGGCAGACGGACAAGCUCGAGCCAACUCGAACAUGAAGUUGCUUCCCCUCUUCUUCAACAAUCUUAACGGAGAAAACUCCAUGUUAUACAUGAUGGCAAUGCGGAACCCACAGAUGAUGCAGUACAUGCUACCUCUCGCGGCUGGCUCUGGCAACGACAAUCUCACGAGACUUCUGACGAUGAUGCUCGGCACUAGGGGGCUAAAAGGCACAGCUGCCGUAGGAGGAACAGCGAAGGGCGGAAGAGCUUUCUAAUUUCUAAGACACGGAAGUUGUCUCCCUUUGCGGUAGUGGCACAGGAACUCUCUAGACAGCAGAAACUCCUUUAGCUACAUGUUCAGCCCCGCUUUGGCUACAAUUUACUUUUUUAACUACAUGUUGAGUCUGGUGACUUUAUCUCCUGGGGCUGAAGUUAUGAAACGAGGCGAAGUCUUUGUCCUGGAGCAGCAUGGGGAACCCUAGGACAAGCGAGUUGUUUCCGAAGUUAAAGCGGUGUCCACACCCCGGCAGAUGUCGCAUUAAUACUGUAUGUCAAAAUGUCAAAACAUGUCAAAACAUGAAGUAGUCUACUCUACAUGGUGUCUAGGCUACGUAUUGUUAUUAUGAAAAUAAUACUUUUUUAUUUUGCCCGAGGGAAACGACUUUCUCUCGCUUCAUAACCACGCCCCAUCCUCCCUCCUCCCCUGUUGAUGCAGGAAUUUCUUUCAAAUUAAUGUAGACUGUUUUAUGAUCCCUUGAGAUUUCAGACAGUUUCUGGAUAUCCGAUGAAGUUCAAGGUGUUAAUGUUUGGUAAAUAAAGUUGUUGUGUUGCUUGGA